CCCAGUUUCUCUUCUGGCACGGCAACGGCAGGCACAUCCCCGCGCCGCCUCUUCCUCUUCGAUUCCCCAAUCUCCUCCCCGUCUCCUCCGCCCCCCAAAAAUCCUCCUAAAUUGCCAGUCUCACCAGCCGGCGGAACCCUAGCUCUGGAGCUACUGCCAGGCCAGGACGGCGGAACCGGCCGCUCCUUCCCUGGCGCCGCACUUCGGAGGCCUGCGCUGCUCGGCGCGUCCCUCGCCCGCGUCUUUCCUCCGGCCACACCUUCAGGAUUCGCGCCGCUCCGGUCCAAGGGCUUUAGAGGCUUGCUACCGUUGCCGUCCUCUUUACCUCUGCGCGCGCACAUGAGUCUGAUAUGCUUGGUCAAGUUCAGUGCAGCGGCUGCAGCCGGCCCCUAUUGAUUCCAUUUUCUAUGAUGCACGGUGGUCGGCCGGUAGGCACCUCUACCUUCUGUCGCAGCGUAUCCAGGAAAAGUGUUAAGUCCCUCUUUUGUCCACAUGAACUGCCCUCCUUUGCCACAUAGAAGGCAUCGAGGGCUCUAUGAAAGCAUCCAAUCUCGCCGCUCUGCCAACUUUGCCUGAACCUCGACUGCCAAUGCUCCAUAUACCGUCAUACAAUCUUGCCAUUCUACCUACUUCGCCGGAACACCGACCGCUGGUGCGCUAUCUGAGGUAGGCUGUUUUCAACUGGACUAAAAAUCAGUGUUAUUUUCAUGCAUGGAAGAAGCGCUCGACUUUAUUACUAACUACUGUAACAGGGAAUGCCUUCACGGCUUACUUUAUUAAUCACAUAAGCAAACUUACAUCGUUCACAAGAGAUUCAUGAAUAAAAGGAGAUUCAUCUACCCAAUUACAUGAUAAAUGGUUCUCAUUGCUAUGCUUAGCAUUCUCAUGUGCGACGCCAUUGGCCUCCCGAUAGCAGUGAGCAAACUGAACCGUACCUAUCUCCACAAUCAAGUCAACGCAAUCCGCAAAAACAGCAGCUCCUUCAUGCCACCAAAAAUUCAAAUCAUAGAUGAUAGGUGUUGAACUGCUAGAAUAUUUAUGCCCCUUUGCAACACAUGGGCAUAUGUGCGAGCUUAUUCCAAAAGAGAAAUGCAUUGGUACUAUGUUGAUAGCGAGGGCGCAAGGCUCAAGGGAAGCAGGUUCUCUAGCUGUCUGUAUGCUUAUGGUAUCUUGCAUGGGGGUUACAAAUUCAAUUCAACAUGUCAGUUGAGGAAGCUGCUGAGUUAGCAUGGCGGGCUAUUUAUCAUGCAACAUUCCUUGACGGAGCUAGUGGCGAUCGGACGGAGAAGGGAAGGGGAAGGAUCUUGAGGAAGAGUUAAGAACAAGAUACAAGAAGAUUUAUGAUCUUGUUAAGUAGCAUGUUGAGAGGUCUGAAGGAGGAGGGGCAGGGUUGGAAGCUAUGAAUGUCAAGAUGGGCAGCUGCAAAUUCACUGGUUCACUGACCUAAAUUAUUUAAUCAGGAAAGGCUGGUUCCUAAUAUGUGAUGCUUUUGUUUUAAUGGGCUGGAGAAUCAGGAAGGUCCACGAUAUUUAAGCAG